AGAGGUUGCUUCUGGCUCAGAUUGAACGCUGGCGGAAUGCUUUACACAUGCAAGUCGAACGAUGAACCUUAGCUUGCUAAGGGGAUUAGUGGCGAACGGGUGAGUAAUAUAUCGGAACGUGCCUUGUAAUGGGGGAUAACUAGUCGAAAGAUUAGCUAAUACCGCAUACGCCCUGAGGGGGAAAGUAGGGGAUCUUCGGACCUUACGUUAUAAGAGCGGCCGAUAUCUGAUUAUCUAGUUGGUGGGGUAAUGGCCUACCAAGGCGACGAUCAGUAGCUGGGUCUGAGAGGACGACCAGCCACACUGGAACUGAGACACGGUCCAGCCCCUUACGGGAGGCAGCAGUGGGGAAUUUUGGACAAUGGGCGCAAGCCUGAUCCAGCCAUUCCGCGUGAGUGAAGAAGGCCUUCGGGUUGUAAGGCUCUUUCGCAAGGGAAGAAAACUUACUUUCUAAUAAAGAGUGAGGCUGACGGUACCUUGAUAAGAAGCACCGGCUAACUACGUGCCAGCAGCCGCGGUAAUACGUAGGGUGCGAGCGUUAAUCGGAAUUACUGGGCGUAAAGCGUGCGCAGGCGGUUUGGCAAGUCAGAUGUGAAAUCCCCGAGCUCAACUUGGGAACUGCGUUUGAAACUGCCAGACUAGAAUAUGUCAGAGGGGGGUAGAAUUCCACGUGUAGCAGUGAAAUGCGUAGAGAUGUGGAGGAAUACCAAUGGCGAAGGCAGCCCCCUGGGAUAAUAUUGACGCUCAUGCACGAAAGCGUGGGGAGCAAACAGGAUUACAUACCCUGGUAGUCCACGCCCUAAACGA
rnacentral:rRNA from 1 species